CUGACCUCAAAUCAGGCGGGACUACCCGCUGAACUUAAGCAUAUCAAUAAGCGGAGGAAAAGAAACUAACAAGGAUUCCCCUAGUAACUGCGAGUGAAGCGGGAUAAGCUCAAAUUUAAAAUCUGGCGGUCUAUGGCCGUCCGAGUUGUAGUCUGGAGAAGUGCUUUCCGCGCUGGACCGUGUACAA
rnacentral:rRNA from 1 species